rnacentral:tRNA from 1 species
CAACGGGUGAUUGCCACAGGUAAGAUGGCUGAGUAUUUAAGCGGUGGGUUGUAGCCCCAUGCACAGAGGUUAAAGUCCCCUUCUUAUCA